GAUGAACGCUGGCGGCGUGCCUAAUACAUGCAAGUCGAGCGAACGGACGAGAAGCUUGCUUCUCUGAUGUUAGCGGCGGACGGGUGAGUAACACGUGGAUAACCUACCUAUAAGACUGGGAUAACUUCGGGAAACCGGAGCUAAUACCGGAUGAUAUUUUGAACCGCAUGGUUCAAAAGUGAAAGACGGUCUUGCUGUCACUUAUAGAUGGAUCCGCGCUGCAUUAGAUAGUUGGUAAGGUAACGGCUUACCAAGGCAACGAUGCAUAGCCGACCUGAGAGGGUGAUCGGCCACACGGGAACUGAGACACGGUCCAGACUACUACGGGAGGCAGCAGUAGGGAAUCUUCCGCAAUGGGCGAAAGCCUGACGGAGCAACGCCGCGUGAGUGAUGAAGGUCUUCGGAUCGGAAAACUCUGUUAUGAGGGAAGAACAUAUGUGUAAGUAACUGUGCACAGCUUGACGGUACCUAAUCAGAAAGCAACGGCUAACUACGUG
rnacentral:rRNA from 1 species